rnacentral:lncRNA from 1 species
UAUGGUAUUUAUUGGGUAGGUUUGGAACAGGGUAAUCAUGAGGUCCUGAAAGCUGUAAUACAGAUUUUUAAAAAUCCAAGCCUCAGAAACUUGCAGAGGUCCUUGCCUAGAAUUGAAUCUGAAAAUGUUCCCAAUAUUGAGAAGUCUCCAAAGCAGGCAUGGAAAGUGGUUCUUGAGAGAAAAGGUUGGUUUUGAAUUCCAGUGAGGCUUGGAGAGCACAAAGCUCUGCGAAUCGCAGGUGAGUCAGAGCAUUCCUGUCCCCUUAAG